rnacentral:rRNA from 1 species
AUUGAACGCUGGCGGCAUGCUUUACACAUGCAAGUCGAACGGUAACAGGCCGCAAGGUGCUGACGAGUGGCGAACGGGUGAGUAAUGCAUCGGAACGUGCCCAGUCGUGAGGGAUAACGCAGCGAAAGCUGCGCUAAUACCGCAUACGAUCUAUGGAUGAAAGCGGGGGACCGUAAGGCCUCGUGCGAUUGGAGCGGCCGAUGUCAGAUUAGGUAGUUGGUGGGGUAAAGGCUCACCAAGCCAACGAUCGGUAGCUGGUCUGAGAGGACGACCAGCCACACUGGGACUGAGACACGGCCCAGACUCCUACGGGAGGCAGCAGUGGGGAAUUUUGGACAAUGGGCGCAAGCCUGAUCCAGCAAUGCCGCGUGAAGGAAGAAGGCCUUCGGGUUGUAAACUGCUUUUGUACGGAACGAAACGGUCCUGGUUAAUACCUGGGGCUAAUGACGGUACCGUAAGAAUAAGCACCGGCUAACUACGUGCCAGCAGCCGCAGUAA